CACGUAGGCACCAAGCGUUGUCCGGAUUUAUUGGGCGUAAAGAGCUCGUAGGCGGUUCGAUAAGUCGGGUGUGAAAACUUUGGGCUCAACCCAAAGCGUGCAUUCGAUACUGUUGUGACUAGAGUUCGGUAGGGGAGUGGGGAAUUCCUAGUGUAGCGGUGAAAUGCGCAGAUAUUAGGAGGAACACCGGUGGCGAAGGCGCCACUCUGGGCCGAAACUGACGCUGAGGUGCGAAAGCGUGGGGAGCAAACAGG
rnacentral:rRNA from 1 species